UACAGAGGUCUCAAGCGUUGUUCGGAUUCAUUGGGCGUAAAGGGUGUGUAGGUGGCUCCGCAAGUCGGGUGUGAAAUUUCGGAGCUUAACUCCGAAACUGCAUUCGAUACUGCGGUGCUUGAGGACUGGAGAGGAGGCUGGAAUUUACGGUGUAGCGGUGAAAUGCGUAGAUAUCGGAAGGAAGACCAGUGGCGAAGGCGGGUCUCUGGGCAGAUCCUGACGCUGAGGCACGAAAGUCAGGGGAGCAAACGGG
rnacentral:rRNA from 1 species